AUUAAAAUUAGCACCAGUAUUUAAUUGUCUGUUAGAUGUUAAUUUUCAUUAAGCUUAAGGUUCUACGGAAAAAGGCGAAAUUCGCCCCUAAAGGCUUCAAUGUCUGAAUGAAAAAAGGCACUAUGGUAAAGAGGUAGUUGAAAAAUGGGAGGGAGCUGGCCUCUACAAGUUGUUGAUUGAGAUAGAUUAGCGUAUUGACUUUCGAUUGAUAUACCUCAUUAAGCAUAUGGUUUUACGGAAAAUGGCUAAAUUUGUCGAAAACUAUCUCGUUUUUGUUAUAAACCGUAUAUUAGCAAUGGCGACGUGCGCCACUUCCGUCGCCGACGCCAUUUGGACGCCAUGUUGCCCGAGAUUUGAGCGCUUGUACGCCUUGGCUUCUAAAUUUCAAGAUGAAUAUUGACGGCAGAAGACGGCGUUGUGCAUAUGGGGGGCACGCACUGAUUUCAAGAGAGCCAGCGCCAUUCCGGAUCUGAAAAUGCUCUGCAUGUCAGCAUUGUCUGCGCCGCUUCGUCUGCGGCCCCCGCCAGCGCCGCUUCGUCUGCGGUCCCCGCCAGCGCCGCUUCGUCUGCGGUGCCGACCAGCGCCGCUUCGUCUGCGGUCCCCGCCAGCGCCGCUUCGUCUGCGGUGCCGACCAGCGCCCUUCUGCAUGGUACCUCGCCUGAUGUAGCCACGCAGGGCGGAGAGUGGAGGUGAGCUAUUACUGAUUAGUUUUGUCCAGGUAAAUUCAGAAAUAUCAUGUUCAUGCCACAUCAUCAGAGUCGCCUCACCAAUCAACAUAAUAUUUUCAGGGAUGAGGGUCCAGGGGACCCAUUUGUAUUUGUUCUCACUUCUCACCUUGUUUCUUUGUUGAAUCUGUAUCCCUUAGUCUCUUUACAAACCAAACUAUGUACUUUUUCAUGGAUAGAAUUGCUAUAUGCCAUGGGAUGUACAAAAAUGCAACUUUGUGCCUAGCUCUAGGCUAAUAAGAAGUGUAUUUCAUUAAAAUAUCAUGUUUUGUUUGUAUGUUGAAUGGUUUGCAUAUGAAGAUAAUUUCCAGCGGCUGCUAAUAUGUUAUGCAGCCCUCUCCUUUAAGUGACCAUCCCACCUUAGCAUUAGUUUUCAGUUGAGAUAGCAAGAUUGGGGUCCCUGGCGUGCAAUUACCGGUUUGGGUACUCACAACAUCGAAAAAUGCUUCAAAUCGAAAAUAUUUGAUCUCAAAGUUGCAGCACUUGGAUUCAGAAGGGCUAAUGUUUUUGAAUGUCCCCCUCUGAAUGUGUGACGUCAGCGCAGAUCUGACGAUUUUAAAAUAUUUUACUAAAACGUUUGGUAACACCUGGUGAUAUAUGCUGCAUUGCGCGCAACAUCUGCCGCACUUUAAGCAUGCCAAAUUAGGUAUUGCUUCCAAAUGACGUCGUAGGAACAGCGGAGGUCCCAAAAAGUAAAAAGUAAUACAGCAGCUGGUCACAGCUGGACCAGUGGCGUGUGUUACAUACACGCGCUUAGACAAUGUGUACACCCUUCCUAAAUCUGGUUGGUUUCUUUUCAGGGGAUUGUGUUUAUCUAUUGGUCAUCAUGCAUCAGCAGUGUGCGUCCAUCUUGUGCUCCACUGACCUAGGCGCAGUUCCAUGCUGUUCAUUGCCAUGCAGUCCCAUGUUCAAUCCACUCCUGUUCGUCUCCUCAGUCACCCGGAGACCUUGGCCUACUCCUGGUCCUCUACGCCCGCCAGCGCCUCUUCGUCUGCGGCCCCCGCCAGCGCCGCUUCGUCUGCGGUCCCCGCCAGCGCCGCUUUGUCUGCGGUGCCGACCAGCGCCCUUCUGCAUGGCACCUCGCCUGAUGCAGCCACGCAGGGCGGAGAGUGGAGGUGAGCUAUUACUGAUUAGUUUUGUCCAGGUAAAUUUAGAGUAAUCAUACACUCACUUUCUGUCUUUUUGUUAUUUUUGUCAUUGUGUGUCAGACAACUUCACCGAUAACACUGAUACAAUUAUUUUUAGGGAACCUGCUUCUUGUGUUCUCAACUUGUUUCUUUGUUGAAUCAUUUCUCCAUCAUUAUCU